UAUUAAAGCAGUUGCUGGAUGAAAUGAUUGGCUGAACUCCAGUGAUCGUCACUCUUUCAGAGUUUCUCUUCCUCAUAUAUGAGUCUCUCAGUCUCUCUUAUUCUCUUCAUCUCUCCACUAAACUCAAACUGCUUCACAGGGAAGAUGCUGAUCAUUUUCUACUUCACUCUCCUCACUCUUCUGUCAUGUGUCAGAUCUGUGAAAGUGGUCACACAGAAACCCUCUGUGCUGACAGAACAAAAAGGCAAAUCUGUGACUAUGGAUUGUAACAUUGAAAAGUAUGAAGGUUAUUAUGUCCACUGGUAUAAACAGAAUCCAAAUGCAGCUCCUCAGUUUGUGUUGAGAUUCUAUUAUGGACACAGCUCUCCUGACGCAUAUGGUGAUGGUUUUACAUCCAGCCGCUUCACAUCUACAGCUCAGUCAAAUAUUGACUAUAAUCUGAUCAUCAGUAAUGUGGAUGUUGGUGAUUCUGCAGUGUAUUACUGUAACACAUGGGACGGCUCUGCUAGUGAGUACGUAUCACAGUGAUUCACACCAUGACAAAAACCUCCUCACUGCUCACAUUGACUUCUGCUUUUACACACGUCUCACUUGUUCUUGAAUUCAAUAUACAAUAUGUGCAGUUACAGUUUAUAGUUACAUUAGUAUAUAUCAUUUAAAUCAAGUGUAA